rnacentral:ncRNA from 1 species
GAGAGCCGUGUGAUGGGAAACCUUCCCGCACGGUUCGGAGAGCACUGAAUUAGAAUGAGAGGUUCACCACCACAUCAUUGAAUGCAAGGGGAGCUCUCCUCUGAUUUUGU